GAUGAAGAACGCAGCGAAAUGCGAUAAGUAAUGUGAAUUGCAGAAUUCAGUGAAUCAUCGAAUCUUUGAACGCACAUUGCGCCCGCCAGUAUUCUGGCGGGCAUGCCUGUUCGAGCGUCAUUUCAACCCUCAGGCCCCCAGUGCCUGGUGUUGGGGAUCGGCAGCAGGGCGUCAAUCCCGCCGGCCCCGAAAUCUAGUGGCGGUCUCGCUGUAGUCCUCCUCUGCGUAGUAGCACAACCUCGCAGUUGGAACGCGGCGGUGGCCAUGCCGUUAAACACCCCACUUCUGAAAGUUGACCUCGGAUCAGGUAGGAAUACCCGCUGAACUUAAGCAUAUCAAUAAGCGGAGGA
rnacentral:misc_RNA from 1 species